UACAGAGGUGGCAAGCGUUGUUCGGAAUUACUGGGCGUAAAGGGCGCGUAGGCGGUCGGGCAAGUCCUGUGUGAAAUCCCUCGGCUCAACUGAGGAACUGCACGGGAAACUGCUCGACUUGAGUUCGGGAGAGGGAAGCGGAAUUCCGGGUGUAGCGGUGAAAUGCGUAGAUAUCCGGAGGAACACCGGUGGCGAAGGCGGCUUCCUGGACCGACACUGACGCUGAGGCGCGAAAGCGUGGGGAGCGAACAGG
rnacentral:rRNA from 1 species